rnacentral:rRNA from 1 species
UACAGAGGAGCCAAGCGUUGUCCGGAUUGACUGGGCGUAAAGCGCACGCAGGCGGUUGCGCGCGUGGGGUGUGAAAACUGGCCGCUUAACGGCCAGGCGCCAUCCCAUACGGCGCGACUGGAGUGAUGCAGAGGUCGAUGGAAUUGCCGGUGUAGUGGUGAAAUGCGUAGAUAUCUGCAGGAACACCCGUGGCGAAAGCGGCGCGCUGGACCACUACUGACGCUGAGGAACGAAAGCUAGGGGAGCAAACAGG